rnacentral:ncRNA from 2 species
AAUAUUAUAGGGAAUGAAGUACUCCCUUUAAACGCGAAAGCUGAUGACUUCUACUUAAAU